CUCAGAACGAACGCGUGGCGGCGCGUUUAAGCAUGCAAGUCGAGCGGUAGUAGCAAUACGAGAGCGGCGGACGGGUGAGUAACACGUGGGUAAUCUGCCCUUCGGUCGGGAAUAGCCUGUAGGAAACACAGGAUAAUACCGGAUGCGAUGGUCUUCACACAAGUGGAGGUCAGGAAAGGAGCCAAGGCUCCGCCGGAGGAUGAGCCCGCGUCCCAUUAGCUAGAUGGUGAGGUAAAGGCCCACCAUGGCGAUGAUGGGUAGCCGGCCUGAGAGGGUGAACGGCCACAUUGGAACUGAGACACGGUCCAGACUCCUACGGGAGGCAGCAGCUAAGAAUCUUCCACAAUGGACGAAAGUCUGAUGGAGCGACGCCGCGUGGGCGAUGAAAGGCCGUGAGGUUGUAAAGCCCUUUUCUUGAGGGGGAAUAAUGCGGGCAGGGAAUGGCCUGCAGAUGACGUGAAUCAAGGAAUAAGCCCCGGCUAACUACGUGCCAGCCGCUGC
rnacentral:rRNA from 1 species